rnacentral:lncRNA from 1 species
GUUUGGUGGAGGGUUUAGGUGUGUUUAGGCUGAAGACCCCCAGGCGCAGAUGUCCAGUUGUCAGGUGUACGGGGUAACUGUGACGAUAAAAGGGAAGAACACCUGGAGAACAUGGAGCAGCACGACCAGCAUAACAACAGCAACAUAACAACACCAGCCUAACAACACAACACCAGCAUAACAGCAGUGCAGCAACACCAGCGUAACAACAACAUAACAACACCAAUGUAACAACAGCAACAUAACAACAUUGGCGUAACAUAACAACAUCAGAAUAACAGCAGUGCAACACCAGUGUAACAACAACAUAACAACAGCAGAGUAACAACGGCAACAUAACAGCAGCAACGUAACAACACUGGUGUAACAACAGCAACGUAACAACACUGGCGUAACAGCAACAUAACACUGGUGUAACAACAUAACACCAGCAUAACAACAACAAAACAACACCAGCAUAACAACAUAACACCACCGUAACAACAGCAACAUAACAACACUGGUGUAACAACAAUGCAACACCAGUGUAACAACAGCAACAUAACACUGGUGUAACAACAAUAUAACAACACUGGCGUAACAACAGCAACAUAACAGCACUGGCGUAACGACAACAUAACAGCACUGGUGUAACGACAUAACACUGGCGUAACAACAGCAACACCAGUGUCAACAGCAAUGUAACAACACCAGCAUAACAACAACAUAACACCAGCUUAACAACAGCAAUAUAACACCAGCUAACAGCAACGUAACAACACUGGCGUAACAACAUAACGACACCGGCGUAACAACAGCAACGUAACAACACCGGAGUAACAACAUAACACCAGCAUAACAGCAGUGCAACAACACCAGCAUAACAACAUAACAACAGUAACAUAAUACCAGUGUAACAACAACAUAACAGCAGAGUAACAACAGCAACAAAACAACACCAGCAUAACAACAUAACAC